GAUGAACGCUGGCGGCGUGCCUAAUACAUGCAAGUCGAGCGGACGGACGAGUAUCUUGCCUCACUGAUGUCAGCGGCGGACGGGUGAGUAACACGUGGAUAACCUACCUAUAAGUAAGGGAUAACUUAGGGAAACCGGAGCUAAUACUGGAUAAUAUUUUGAACCGCAUGGAUAAUAAGUGAAAGACGGUCUUGCUGUCACUUAUAGAUGGAUCCGCGCUGCAUUAGCUAGUUGGUAAGGUAACUGCUUACGAAGGCAACGAUGCAUAGUCGACCUGAUAGGAUGGUCGGCCGCACUGGAGCUGAGACACGCUCCAGACACCUGCGAGAGGCAGCAGUAGCGAAUCUUGGGCAAUGGGCGAAAGCCUGGCACAGCAAAGCCGCGUGCAUGAUGAAGGUCUUCGGAUCGUAAAACUCUAUUAUUAGGAAAGAACAUAUGUGUGAGAAGAAAAGGAGAUCAUGACGGUACCUGAUCAGGAAGCCCCGGCUAACUACGUG
rnacentral:rRNA from 1 species